AAUCAACGCUGGCGGCGUGCCUAACACAUGCAAGUCGAACGCGGUUGGUCCGCAAGGAACAAUCGAGUGGCGAACGGGUGAGUAACACGUGGGUGACCUACCUUCGAGUGGGGGAUAACGUUCCGAAAGGAACGCUAAUACCGCAUAACAUCCUGCCUUUGAACAGGUGGAGAUCAAAGCCGGGGAUCGCAAGACCUGGCGCUGGAUGAGGGGCCCGCGUCCGAUUAGCUAGUUGGGAGGUAACGGCCCACCAAGGCGACGAUCGGUAACCGGCCUGAGAGGGCGGACGGUCACACUGGGACUGAGACACGGCCCAGACUCCUACGGGAGGCAGCAGUGGGGAAUUGUUCGCAAUGGGCGCAAGCCUGACGACGCAACGCCGCGUGGAGGAUGACGGUCUUCGGAUUGUAAACUCCUGUUGCGUCGGGACGAACGGCUCAGAUCGAAUACAUCUG
rnacentral:rRNA from 1 species